CAUUAGAUGGCUGAAAACAAGUAAUGGUCUCUUAAACCAAUUAAUAAUAAAGUAGUGAUUAUUUCUAAUG
rnacentral:tRNA from 1 species